GACGAACGCUGGCGGCGUGCUUAACACAUGCAAGUCGAACGGAAAGGCCCUGCUUUUGUGGGGUGCUCGAGUGGCGAACGGGUGAGUAACACGUGAGUAACCUGCCCUUGACUUUGGGAUAACUUCAGGAAACUGGGGCUAAUACCGGAUAGGAGCUCCUGCUGCAUGGUGGGGGUUGGAAAGUUUCGGCGGUUGGGGAUGGACUCGCGGCUUAUCAGCUUGUUGGUGGGGUAGUGGCUUACCAAGGCUUUGACGGGUAGCCGGCCUGAGAGGGUGACCGGCCACAUUGGGACUGAGAUACGGCCCAGACUCCUACGGGAGGCAGCAGUGGGGAAUAUUGCACAAUGGGCGGAAGCCUGAUGCAGCAACGCCGCGUGCGGGAUGACGGCCUUCGGGUUGUAAACCGCUUUCGCCUGUGACGAAGCGUGAGUGACGGUAAUGGGUAAAGAAGCACCGGCUAACUACGUGCCAGCAGCCGCGGUGAUACGUAGGGUGCGAGCGUUGUCCGGAUUUAUUGGGCAUAAAGGGCUCGUAGGUGGUUGAUCGCGUCGGAAGUGUAAUCUUGGGGCUUAACCCUGAGCGUGCUUUCGAUACGGGUUGACUUGAGGAAGGUAGGGGAGAAUGGAAUUCCUGGUGGAGCGGUGGAAUGCGCAGAUAUCAGGAGGAACACCAGUGGCGAAGGCGGUUCUCUGGGCCUUUCCUGACGCUGAGGAGCGAAAGCGUGGGGAGCGAACAGGCUUAGAUACCCUGGUAGUCCACGCUGUAAACGGUGGGUACUAGGUGUGGGGUCCAUUCCACGGGUUCCGUGCCGUAGCUAACGCUUUAAGUACCCCGCCUGGGGAGUACGGCCGCAAGGCUAAAACUCAAAGGAAUUGACGGGGCCCCGCACAAGCGGCGGAGCAUGCGGAUUAAUUCGAUGCAACGCGUAGAACCUUACCUGGGUUUGACAUGGAUCGGGAGCGCUCAGAGAUGGGUGUGCCUCUUUUGGGGUCGGUUCACAGGUGGUGCAUGGCUGUCGUCAGCUCGUGUCGUGAGAUGUUGGGUUAAGUCCCGCAACGAGCGCAACCCUUGUUCACUGUUGCCAGCACGUUAUGGUGGGGACUCAGUGGAGACCGCCGGGGUCAACUCGGAGGAAGGUGGGGAUGACGUCAAGUCAUCAUGCCCCUUAUGUCCAGGGCUUCACGCAUGCUACAAUGGCUGGUACAGAGAGUGGCGAGCCUGUGAAGGUGAGCGAAUCUCGGAAAGCCGGUCUCAGUUCGGAUUGGGGUCUGCAACUCGACCUCAUGAAGUCGGAGUCGCUAGUAAUCGCAGAUCAGCAACGCUGCGGUGAAUACGUUCCCGGG
rnacentral:rRNA from 1 species